UGGGGGGGGGGGGGGCUAGGAUGAAAAAUUUUGUCCUGCAUUUUUUUGUAGCUGUAAUCUCUGUCCUGCCUUUUUAUUUUUCACUCUGUUCGGUCCUGCCUUUUUUUUUUAGUUUAUCCAGACUUUUUUUUAACUACAUUGUCGUCCUGACUUUUUUUUUGCAAGUGUCUCAUCCUGCCUUUUUUUUUACUCAAAACUCCUGUCCUGCCUAUUUUUUUCAAAUUUCAUCCUAGCCCCCCCCCCCCCCCCCCCCCCCCCCCCCCCCCUAAAAAUCAAAUGGUAGCUCCCUUA
rnacentral:lncRNA from 1 species